rnacentral:rRNA from 1 species
CCUACGGGUGGCAGCAGUGGGGAAUAUUGGACAAUGGGCGAAAGCCUGAUCCAGCAAUGCCGCGUGAGUGAUGAAGGCCUUAGGGUUGUAAAGCUCUUUUACCCGGGAUGAUAAUGACAGUACCGGGAGAAUAAGCCCCGGCUAACUCCGUGCCAGCAGCCGCGGUAAUACGGAGGGGGCUAGCGUUGUUCGGAAUUACUGGGCGUAAAGCGCACGUAGGCGGCUUUGCAAGUCAGAGGUGAAAGCCCGGGGCUCAACCCCGGAACUGCCUUUGAUACUGGCGAUCUUGAGUUCGGGAGAGGUGAGUGGAACUGCGAGUGUAGAGGUGAAAUUCGUAGAUAUUCGCAAGAACACCAGUGGCGAAGGCGGCUCACUGGCCCGAAACUGACGCUGAGGUGCGAAAGCGUGGGGAGCAAACAGGAUUAGAUACCCCAGUAGUC